GGCCGCCACUAGCAACUAACCUCAGCUUCCUAAACUCAACAGAAAGGUUUGUAGUACGAGGGAGUGAGGACCCCGAGUCCACCAGCUCAACCCCGGCCCCGCCCCGUCGGCCUGGCCCGGGGCUGGGAGGAGAGGAUGCCUUUGGAGGCGCAGAAUCCGAAAUACCACAUCCAUAGACCCAAGCCCAAGUGACUGGGAGAUCCAGCUGGAAGAGAUAGGAGCUCAAGUCAAAAUGGCAUGCAAAGAAAGAAGGGCAGGAUGCUUCAAUAGGGAAGCCAAGGCCACCUUGGCUAAUAUGUCAUUCACACGUCCAUCUACAGUCUGGAAGAUUGUAUUGGGGAGGAGGGCUUCACCAGCUCCCUUCUGCCGUUAAAUAAAAG